GUAUUCCUAGUUCAAUUGGUAGAAUACUCCGGUUCAUAUCGGAAGAUGCGGGUUCGAGGCCUGCGGGGUACA
rfam:Enterococcus avium ATCC 14025 genomic scaffold acpMO-supercont1.3, whole genome shotgun sequence.